CCUUGCCAGCUGACACCACGAAGUACAGUGUUCUCCAUUCCUCACCGUGGCGCAGGACCCGUGAACCCACUUCGCACGUGGGCCGGGCACGCCACUCUUCCGGCCUGGGACUUCGACCCCAGCGCGCGCCCCCGAGGGCCCCGCGGAACCGCCUGGCCCACCCGCCGGAAGUGACGUAACGCCACGGCCUAGCAACCGUUGCCAAGGAGCUCGUCUCUAGGAACCCACUAGAGCCUGGAUCCCUCCUGCGGGGGGGGAAAGUGGUUUCUUGAGGAGAAUUUGAGUUAUAAGACCUAAUUAUGAGUGAUCAAAUCAAAUUCAUUGUGGACAAUCUCAAUAAGGAGCCUUUUAGGAAGAACUAUAAUUUAAUCACAUUUGAUUCCCUGGAGCCAAUGCAACUAUUGCAAAUUCUCAAUGAUAUUCUGGCUGAGAUUGACCCGAAGCAAAUUGUUGAUAUCAGAGAGGAGAUGCCAGAGCAGACAGCCAAAAGGAUGCUGAGCCUUCUUGGUAUCCUUAAAUACAAACCUCCAGGAAAUGUGACAGACAUGAGUACCUUUCGUCAGGGACUGGUGAUUGGAAGUAAGCCUGUAAUUUAUCCAGUGCUCCACUGGCUUCUUCAGAGGACUAAUGAACUGAAGAAAAGAGCAUAUUUAGCUCGUUUUUUAAUAAAACUUGAGGUACCAAGUGAAUUUCUUCAGGAUGAAACAGUGGCUGAUACCAAUAAACAGUAUGAAGAGCUGAUGGAGGCCUUUAAAACUUUGCAUAAAGAAUGUGAGCAACUCAAGACAUCUGGAUUUUCUACAGCAGAAAUAAGACGGGAUAUCAGUGCAAUGGAGGAAGAAAAGGAUCAGCUCAUUAAGAGAGUUGAACGUUUGAAGAAAAGGGUGGAGACAGUUCAGAAUCAUCAACGAAUGCUUAAAAUAGCAAGGCAACUUCGAGUUGAAAAAGAGAGAGAAGAAUUUCUUGCACAACAGAAACAGGAACAAAAGAAUCAGCUAUUUCAUGCAGUGCAGAGACUGCAAAGGGUACAAAAUCAGCUGAAGAGUAUGCGCCACGCAGCAGCAGAUGCAAAGCCUGAAAGUUUAAUGAAGAGACUAGAGGAAGAGAUAAAAUUUAAUUCUUACAUGGUAACUGAAAAAUUUCCUAAAGAAUUAGAGAGCAAGAAAAAAGAAUUGCAUUUUUUACAAAAAGUGGUUUCAGAGCCUGCCAUGGGCCAUUCUGAUCUUCUUGAACUUGAAUCUAAAAUAAAUGAAGUAAACACACAGAUAAAUCAGCUGAUUGAAAAGAAAAUGAUGAGAAAUGAACCAAUUGAAGGCAAACUCUCACUAUACAGGCAACAGGCAUCCAUCAUUUCUCGUAAAAAAGAAGCCAAAGCUGACGAACUUCAGGAAACGAAGGAAAAGUUAGCCAGCCUAGAGAGAGAGGUGUCAGUGAAGACAAAUCAGACCCGGGAAUUUGAUGGCACCGAAGUUCUGAAGGGAGAUGAAUUCAAAAGAUAUGUCAGUAAACUUCGAAGCAAGAGUACAGUUUUCAAAAAGAAGCAUCAAAUAAUAGCUGAAUUUAAAGCUGAAUUCGGUCUCUUGCAGAGGACAGAAGAACUUCUUAAGCAACGUCAUGAAAAUAUUCAACAUCAGCUGCAAACUAUUGAAGAGAAAAAAGGCAUAUCUGGAUACAGUUACACCCAGGAAGAGCUAGAAAGGGUAUCUGCACUGAAGAGCGAAGUUGAUGAAAUGAAAGGUCGAACGCUAGAUGACAUGUCUGAAAUGGUAAAAAAGCUGAAUUCACUGGUAUCUGAAAAGAAGUCAGCUCUAGCCCCAGUUAUAAAAGAACUACGACAGUUACGUCAGAAAUGUCAAGAACUAACCCAGGAGUGUGAUGAAAAGAAAUCCCAGUAUGAUAGCUGUGCAGCAGGCCUUGAAAGCAAUCGGUCCAAAUUAGAACAGGAAGUCAGAGGACUCCGUGAAGAAUGUCUUCAGGAAGAAAGUAGAUACCAUUACACAAAUUGCAUGAUUAAGAACCUAGAAGUACAACUUCGUCGUGCUACUGAUGAGAUGAAGGCAUAUGUCUCUUCCGACCAACAAGAAAAAAGAAAGGCAAUUAGGGAGCAGUAUACAAAAAAUAUUGCUGAACAGGAAAACCUUGGAAAGGUUAUGGUACAGUUUUCAAAGGGAAAUUGGAUCUUUCUAAAUUUCCUACAAAGAGGAAGAUUCUUUCUUAGGAAUUUAUGUAUGUGUGUAUACAAGAGUGAAGAAACUCCGAGAAAAACAAAAAGCUGUAAGAGAAAGUCAUGGUCCAAAUAUGAAACAAGCAAAAAUGUGGCGUGAUUUUGAACAAUUGAUGGAAUGUAAGAAACAGUGCUUUCUGAAACAACAAAGCCAAACUUCCAUUGGUCAGAGGAAUCUUUUAGGAACUAAUAUCUCUUGUUUUGAAGAAACAUUUAUCUGAAGUUCAGCAAUUCCUACAGUUUCACUUCAGUUUCUC